rnacentral:rRNA from 1 species
UAAUACGGAGGGUGCAAGCGUUAAUCGGAAUUACUGGGCGUAAAGCGCGCGUAGGCGGUUUUGUAAGUCGGAUGUGAAAGCCCCGGGCUUAACCUGGGAAUUGCAUUCGAUACUGCGUGACUAGAGUAUGGUAGAGGGAAGCGGAAUUCCGGGUGUAGCGGUGAAAUGCGUAGAUAUCCGG